UGGGCAUCAGUGUGAGUAUAUGUCAGUAUAGGCAAUUUGCAGUCAUUCAAAUUUUAAUAGAUUACUGAAUUAAAAAGUGUUCAAAACUAUAGUUAUAAUUAAUAAAGUAAUUAAAACACAAUAUAAGAAUCUAAGAGUCAGAUAUCAAGAACUAAUUAGCUUUCGUCGUCCACGACAUCACCAGAGAUAGUGUAGCACUAUAUAGCUACAGUGCUGUGUUGGUUUUAAGCUAUAUAUACAAGGUGUAUAAAAAAGGAAACCUUUAGAAAUUAUGCUAUUGUUAUAAUUUGAAUGUCUGAGCCCAAGAGUGCGCAAAAUAUUGAUUAACUUUAUAAUUAAAAUAU
rnacentral:lncRNA from 1 species